UCGGCUCUGUACAUCGAACAGAACAUGAUCGCAAUUCUGAAUCUUCUAACCCUAACCCCAAUCCUAACCCGACAGACGAUGACAUUUCACAGCCAUAAGGAAUAACCAAUCAGAGCCAAGCACUUCUAGCCAAUCAGAGGCGAAAGAGGGUGGGACCUCUUUUGUAGGACCAUCAUCAUCAUCAUGUACAUCCAACAGAACGUUAUCGCUCAUCUGAAGCUCAUAACUCUACCCCUAAUCCUUAUCCUAAUUUUAAUCCUAGCCCUAACUCUAACCCUAACCCGACGGACGAUGACGAUUCACAGCCGUAAGGCAUAAACCAAUCGGAGCUCAGCACUUCUAGCCAAUCAGAGGCGAAGGAGGGCGGGACCUUUCCCUAUCAUCCUACAAAAGUAAAAGUUCGCGACCCGGACAUUGUUCCCUGGAAGUCAUCCUUUUUUGUCACCUAAUGAACAUAAGUCCAAUAAACUUUCUCCUCAGACACAACACCUAGAUCUAAACUCACAGAACUAGCUUCUGUAAAAAGCAACUUAAUGGAAAAGAAUUGUUGGCAGAUUUGAUGUUCGUUAAAAAAAGUUUUAAAAUGUUUGUUUUCCCUUGAUAACAAGAGAUGAACUGAAUAGAUAAGGCCUUGGGGUUUCCAUGAUGUAGUUUAUCUGUAAUCAUUACCUGAUGACUCACACUGUCAGGUAGCACUAUAAAACGAUAAGGAUUUCUGGACCACAAAUAAAGAGCCAAGACGUGUUUUAUGGAUACACACAAAUUUGAGGACACACAUCAGCACUGGGCUGGCUUACAAAAUGGAAAAGUUUGACACGUCUGCCACCCUGACCAUUACAGAAAAUUACCCUCAUGUCAGUACAACCAUAUCAACACAACACUGUUCAAAUAAAUGCUCCCUAAAAUCCAUUGACAAGUACAACAACAGACGCCGACCCUGUUUAUCAGUGUGCUUACACAAAUCUAGUACGUCCAAACAAACUAAUGAAGCGUUGUAAAUUCCUUCAAUGGAAAAUACAUGAUUUUUUCCUCACUGUCCAUUCUUGCAUGUUUAUCCAGUGAGAAGCCAAACAAAUUGAAACGAUUUGUAAAUAUAAACAGUAGAGACACAAUGCUCUUUGUGGUUUCUCAUUUCCUCCCCUCUUUUUGCACACUCCUAAAGCGUGGCUGAACUCUGUUUGUACACUGUGGUUUUAUUCACACAUGGGUGUGGACCCCUACUCUGAUGGCAGAAUAUUUACAUGUAUUUUUCCACAAAGCAGCAGAAGUUUAAAAAGCUGUACGAUCAGUUGGCCCAUCUUGAUUUGCUUUCAUCUCUCUCCACCUUGUGGUGUUUUUCCUUUAAAGCAGUUUACGUUUAUUGCCUCUUGUAGUGCCACUGAUCGCCACCAGAGGUCAGGACAACACAUGGAAUAUUUCACUGCUUAAACUACUAUGAGAAAUGAAUGAUGCUCUUUGUUUUUGGCUUUUGCAUUUAAAAGCUUGGCUUAGCAUUUCUCCUCUUUCUCCUUCACCACUUUUUGCUGGACUGUGCAGAUUAUAUAGGCGAAAUUCAUACGUACACAAUAACUAACACACAUGACCACAUUGAAAGGGGCAGACAGAAUGGGAGGUGUCAGGUGCUGUCAAACCUCGUGCACUUGUGAAUAAUAGACCUGUUAUGAUCAUGCUAUGCUGUGCCUGUGUUUAAACACUGACCAUUGUUUCAGCACAUGUAACCCACCUGCUAGUCUUGUAGUUGUUUUUAAAUACCUGUCUCUCCUCAGAUUCCAGGUUUUGAGCAGAUGGGAUCAACAGUGAGGAGUUAUGAGAGUGAGCCUUUUAUGAGGGAUGAUUUAUUUCUGUUUCCAAACAUCGUUAGUCAGUUUCAGUUCCAUGUCCUCUUUACAGUGCCGCACUUUUUUGCAUUUUUUUUUGAGUUCGCCUGGCUUGGAAACAAGCUCGAUUUGACAACAGUUUGACAUUGGCGUGUGCAGAUCCAGCUGAGGCAGUGCAGAGUUAUGUGGUUGAUUUGGUGUGGAGGUGUUGAUGGUGCAAACCAAACAAAAAUAGAUGCAGGGUGUUUGUCAGAAACAGGAGCAAGCGCAUUGGCACGCUUUACAUAACCUUUAGGUCAAGGUGAUGACCCUCCAUACUGUCUGCCAAUGUUUACAAAGAAGUCAAGGACAUUAAGGCAAUAUCAAAAUGUCCUUUACACCUAUCUGCAUUCUGCUUGAAUCAAGUAACAAAGUACAUGAAACUUUUGACCACCCACCCAGCUAUAUAUAUGCAAUAUUGUGAGUAUCAAGAAGCAUUUGCUAAUUCUUAUUAUGAAGAGUUACCAUAUGAAUUAAAAUCCAUUUCCCUUUUGUUUGCUACAUUACAGAAAAUAAAGGAGCUCAGGUAUGAUGAAUCUGAGCCUAUGAUCAACCUCCCAACUCAAGUUUUGUACAGUUUUUGGAAUCAACCCUUAUUAGUUGCAGUUGUACAAAACAAAAACUUCCUAAAUACUCUCCCAAGAAAAACUUUAGGAUACUUUACCAAGUAUUCACAUAAUUGAUGGAUUAGGAGAUUGAGUGCCAAACCAGAGUUGCUGUUGAAAGAUUCCCCUGCAGACUACUUUUUCCAGAUACGCCAAACACCAGGAAAUCUGGCAGUAGCUGAGCUAAAGAGAAUUUAAAAAAAACAUACAGCAUACCAAAGCAGAGGCUGUAACACUCAACCAAAACUGCUUGGUCACGCCUACACAGUUGAAAUACCAAAUAGGUAACUUCCUCAUUGUAGUUUGAGUAAUAACACAUUAGACAUCCGGCCCAGCUCACACAACUACUUCUAGAACUUGAGUCCAGCUGGUCUGUUUCUGAACAACACUUAAACAUUUUCCUGUUUUUUUAUUUUCUGAACUAUUUCUCCAUCCCUGGGGUGGUGAUGGAAAAAGCCUCAUAGAUGUUGUAGUCUGUAUCAGCUCUCUAUGAAUACCUGUUGCUAGAUAACUCGGUCAGAAUUAACUGUUGUAAUUAUUUCGUUUCUCAGCCUGUAAAAGGAUAAGAUUUCAUUGUGUAUUUGCAUCAUGAAGUGGAUUAUACCCCACAGGAUUCAGUGUAUUUGACACCCUUCCUUCAACAUCGAGCAGAAUUGCAUCAUAUGGAUGAAGUACAAUGAUGCAAGCUUUCAAACUAUUGCAGUAUAUGUUUAACUUCUAUUAGCUUUAUGACUACGCUGUCCUUUGUGUCAGUGUGUAAAUAGUGUGUGUUGGUUCAGUGACUGCUGCUGGCCAACUCACACUAUUUGCAGGUUUGGCUUGACUCCACCAACCAUGAACUCCAAAUGUCCUCAACACUUUUAUGUCUUUAUUUCACAUCUUUCAGUCUCAUUAGUUAGUAUUUUAGUAUCAAAUAUAUAUCAUCAUAUAAUUUUCUAAGGUGGUAUUAAACAACCUACUGAUUGGGUUUAAUUAGAUCUCUAACAUGAAAACCUAAUAAUUUUAGAGGUGUUAAAGCUCCAUUGAGUAGUUUUUGAUUGGGGAUGAAAAAGACUGAAAUGAACAGUGACGUAUCUUUAUGAUGUACAAAAGCUAAUAAGAUUAUCAGCUACAAGAUUGACGAAUUUUAUAUUGUUAUUUGUAAUACCAGUAACUGCUGUGAGGCGGUAGGUACGCUGAAGAAAAAACUGUUCUAGAAGCAAAAUCUCCCCGGGAGUUGUCAGGUUUACUGUAAAAAUCAACAGACAGUGUUUUUUGGCAAUUAACUUCUCUUUCAGAAGUUCAAGAUAAAACUAGCAGUGAUAGAAGGGUUAGUACUUCAUCCACAGGGGGCGCCAAAAUCAAAACAAACAGAAAGUUCUGUACAGGAGCUUUAAAGGAUAAAGUAUUGUCAGGUAUUCCCCUUUUGCACUUUGCUGUUGUUUAUAGUCUGAUCACCAACUUGUAGGAUAAAUUAGAUUACAGAGACUACAUCCAAGUUCGGAUUUAUAAGAUGUAUUUCGUUGAAGACUGUGAAUAGAGUUUCAAAAUGAUUAAAUUGGAGUACUGUUAGAUUGUAAUGGUUGGAUACUGGUAUUACAGGUGACACGCUCCUCCACAAAGUCUUUUCAUGUGUCCAAUCAAAACAUGUAAGACUGCCGAUAGAAACCCAAGAGAUAACUUAUCAAAAAAAUAAUAAUAAAAACUCUAAGGAAGUUAUAAAGUUGGUGACUUGCACUACUUGCCGAUGUUGAAAGACACUGGAUUAGAGAGGAGCUCUAUGUUCCAAAAACUCUGGCAGUUUGGUCCUCCAGCAGGGUGGUCUAAGAGAGCCUGAGCCAGCCUUCACAUUUAGUUAAACAGAGAGCUGUAAGCCUGGUGCCUCCUGGACCCUUAAGUAGAUGAAUCGGUAAUCUGUAUAGUCAAAGGUCUGGAUAACUAAAGCCUAUCCUUCAUACUUCAAGCAGGCCUGCGCUAUUUGUGACCAUUGAGAGCUUUGGAUUUAAGGAGAUGAAGGUUUCUGACGUGAAACAAAAGAACAGCAAAUAUUAAAAGGGCAAAUUAGAAAACUGAACCACAGAGGUCUCUUGUGUCAGGGUAAACAAAGCUGUUUGACUUAAGAAAGAUGCCUUGGGAAGAAGUUGCACUACCUGAUUUGCAUGGUAUUCAACAAUGCAGGGGAGUGCUAUUAUUGUUAACUAUUUACAGCCAAUAAUGAUAUAUACACACCCUGCAGCAAGAAGGCGUCACCUUUCCUGUUACUGUCUUUAUGUCACAUUUCAGACUACUGGCUUUAGCUCUGCAUGGGUCAUUCCACCACAAGUUCUCAUAAGUUGUCAGUGCUUACAGUUUAUGUUGUGUUGAGUGAUUGCUCUGUCUCUCACACACACAUACAAACAAAUACACUCAGGUUUUAAAAUGAGAGCCACUUCUCGCUCAGGAAAUUUGAUGUCUGGCUUCAGCUUUGCCUCGAUGACCUCGGUGCGUGAAUGUGUGUAGGUCUUUCCGAAGCCGAGUCCCAGAAAUGCUGAAAUUCACCAGAUUAUACCAUGAAAUCUGUAGUUUGUGCAAUAUUGCUUGGACUGCUAAUUCCUGUCGUGUUCUUCGUAAUCCUGUCUACGUCUGUGUGCUUAUUUUUCUCCUUCACCUUUCUUUUGCUUUUGCCUUGACUCACCUGGUUUUUGACAAUCUUUCCACCCAUUUCAUUGGCAUGAUCCGUAUGAUCUGAAUAAUUUCACAUCCCAACUGCAGUGCUAAAUAUGCAAGAAUAGUAGAGUGCCUAAAAAAAACUGCAACUUUUCUGAAAACUAAACGAUUGUUAAGCUACUUUUUCUUGCUUGUAAAUCUUGUUCCAGCUUCUCAAAUAUUAGUUAGAUGCUUUUACUUUUCUUACGUAAACUGAAUACCUGUUGGUUUUAGAGAACUUACUGACAAGACAACUGAGAGGCACUUUAGGCAGAUCAAAGUUUAAACAGAUGUUUUUCUGUACAAAUUAUUGGAGAUACACUUUUGCUCGUUGUUACACUAUUAGGUCUGCAUGAGCAACACAUUUUUAACCUCUUUCAGGCACAGAACUGUGGAAAAAUCAAUAGAUAUUGAUCAUAAGGUGCAGGUAAUAAUCGAUUAUUAGUAUUGGCUCUGAAGAGUACAUAUCCUGCAUCCCAAAUCACUCAUGUCUGGUCUUACCUGAAAUACACAGGUACACUUUAUCUUAUUUCAAGGGGUUUUAACAGCAUGCCUGCACUGCUUCCCUCUGCAUUUGACAAGUUUUCUUGCUAGAAACAAACCCAGUCAUCUUUUCAGUCGCAAAAUAUUAGUACAAAACAUCACUUUAUAUAUCUGAUGCAAACUCACAGCUUUUGCUUUAUUACAAUAACAGCAUUAACACUGUUAUUGCAUGAUCAGUUUCUCAGCAAGUUUGCAUUUAUUGUGUGGAUAUUUUCUAUGUCAUUAACUGUAUUUUGUUAUAUUUUUGACUGCAGUAUGAGUCCACAGAUGUUAUAUUUUAUUCAUUUUUUCCCAUGUUUGUUUUUGAUUCUAGACGUCAUUGAGAAAAGUCGUGAACUUGUGUUUCCCUUUGCUCUGCUUUUUGAGCCAAAGGAACGAAGAGUAAAAACAUGUAAUUAUGGCUGCCUUUUAACACCCAAACCAAACUAUAUUGUUAUCAUACAUUCCUGCAGAUGAAAAACAAAUCUGCGGUAGAAAUCUGUGAUAUUUAAGAUGUAACAUCUUUCAGUGUCUGAGCUCAAACACUGGGAUUAUGCCUGUUCUGUGCAGCAUAUACAGUGCUGGCUUUAUAACGUGUCCUCUACUUUGAGGUCACAUCUGUGGUUGCCAUGGAGAUGGAUCUCGUAGCUGCCAUACCUCAGAAUAAUUAAGUGAUUUCUGAGGGUUGUUACAUCCUUCCUGAGCUGUGUACAUCAUAGUUCAAUCAAUAGGCUGCUUCUACUCAUACAUCUGUGUUCGAUGUAAACGUGCUGUACUUGCAGCUGAGCUUGUAAUGAAUGAAUGUGUGUGGUUAUACAUGACAUUUAUAACUGAGUGCAUGCACAGCGAAUUGUAUGAGAACAGCUAAUGCUUUGCAUCACUCCAUCAUGCGUAUAUAAUAUCCAUUUUUUUGUGUGAUGUGUGUCUACAGCCUGACAGACACAGUUAAGGAUGGUUGGCUAGGCAGACCGUCAACAUGGAUGUGUACAUAUCUUUAUGUCCCAGGGGAGCCGCGCAGUUUUGCUGUUCUCACGGGAUGGGGUGUGACUGUGCAACUAUCCCAGGGGCAUCCCCAACACAGCCCAGGCUUAGAUAGUCUGACCCCUCUGUCUGACCCCAGCCAGGUCCUCCACUGGGCCCCACGAGCCCUGCCACUGCCGGCGUCUGUCUGUGCAAGCCCCCUCGGCAAGAUUCUUUCAGGUCUGGUUUGAAAAGUGGGAGAUGCUUCUGUUACCAAUACACUAACUUCUGAAGAGCGCAAUAUCAGACAAACGAUUCAGAAAGCCGCCAGGAUAGUCCAAACUUAAUCAACGUGAGCGAAGUCACAGACAUGUUGAACUGGGCUCUGCAUGCCAAAACUUGUAAACUCAUAUUGACUUCAAGUGUGUCCAAUCGAGCAAUUUCCUCCAACAACAAAAAACAAGUUUUUCCCCAACUGAGGGUCACAUCUGAGAUUGAAAUGAAAGAGCCAUAAGAUCUUUGGUGCCCCCUUUCAUAUCCCCCACCAUAUCAGGUCAACAUUAUAGCUGUUGGACACCAGAGUUGUGCAAGUCAACACUAAAAGUAAACUUGCUCAAUGCUCAGAUCACACUUUUUAAAAUGAACUAGUUAGUGUAUUUUCUAACAGCUAUAUAUUCAUUAUCCAUCAGCAGAGCCUCAGACUUUUAAAGGGAUAUUCCGGCUUAAAAUUCAUUUAGGGUCAAACACACCGUAACACCGAGUUAUACCCCCCCCCAACUUUAGUAAUGACCACACGAUAGCAAUACACAGCGGUCUAAGAAUCCAUACACAAACCUCAACCAAAACGCCGGUCUAUA